rnacentral:rRNA from 1 species
UACGAAGGGUGCAAGCGUUAAUCGGAAUUACUGGGCGUAAAGGGUGCGUAGGCGGUUCGUUAAGUCUGUCGUGAAAUCCCCGGGCUCAACCUGGGAAUGGCGAUGGAUACUGGCGAGCUAGAGUGUGUCAGAGGAUGGUGGAAUUCCCGGUGUAGCGGUGAAAUGCGUAGAGAUCGGGAGGAACAUCAGUGGCGAAGGCGGUUCUCUGGGACGGUACUGACGCUGAGACGCGAAAGCGUGGGGAGCGAACAGG